rnacentral:rRNA from 1 species
AACGAACGCUGGCGGCAGGCCUAACACAUGCAAGUCGAGCGAGGACUUCGGUUCUAGCGGCGGACGGGUGAGUAACGCGUGGGAAUUUGCCCUUCUCUACCGAAUCGUUCUGGGAAACUGGGAGUAAUACCGCUGAGGCCCUUUUGGGGUAAGAUCUAUCGGGGUAGGAUCGGCCCGGGUUAGAUUGGGUAGUUGGUGGUGUAAUGGCCGAUCAAUCCGACGUUCCAGAGCUGGUGUGGUAAGAGGGUAUGCCAGACUGGAGAUGAGGCACGGCCGAGACUCCUACGGGGGGGAGCAGUGGGGAAUCUUAGACAAUGGGGGCAAACCUAAUCUAGCCGUGCCGCGUGAGUCAUGAAGGCCUUAGGGUUGUAAAGCUCUUUCAGAUGAGAAGAUAAUGACGGUACCAGCAGAAGAAGCCCCGGCUAACUACGUG